rnacentral:rRNA from 2 species
CGUUAAAGACGAUGACGUUGAUAGGCCGGGUGUGUAAGCGCAGCGAUGCGUUGAGCUAACCGGUACUAAUGAACCGUGAGGCUUAACCUUACAACGCCGAAG